GCUCAACCGUGGAGGGUCAUUGGAAACUGGGAAACUUGAGUGCAGAAGAGGAAAGUGGAAUUCCAUGUGUAGCGGUGAAAUGCGCAGAGAUAUGGAGGAACACCAGUGGCGAAGGCGACUUUCUGGUCCGUAACUGACGCUGAUGUGCGAAAGCGUGGGGAUCAAACAGGAUUAGAUACCCUGGUAGUCCACGCCGUAAACGAUGAGUGCUAAGUGUUAGGGGGUUUCCGCCCCUUAGUGCUGCAGCUAACGCAUUAAGCACUCCGCCUGGGGAGUACGACCGCAAGGUUGAAACUCAAAGGAACUGACGGGGACCCGCACAAGCGGUGGAGCAUGUGGUUUAAUUCGAAGCAACGCGAAGAACCUUACCAAAUCUUGACAUCCUUUGAACACUCUAGAGAUAGAGUCUUCCCCUUCGGGGGACAAAGUGACAGGUGGUGCAUGGUUGUCGUCAGCUCGUGUCGUGAGAUGUUGGGUUAAGUCCCGCAACGAGCGCAACCCUUAAGCUUAGUUGCCAUCAUUGAGUUGGGCACUCUAGGUUGACUGCCGGUGACAAACCGGAGGAAGGUGGGGAUGACGUCAAAUCAUCAUGCCCCUUAUGAUUUGGGCUACACACGUGCUACAAUGGAUAGUACAAAG
rnacentral:rRNA from 1 species